UACGUAGGGGGCUAGCGUUGUCCGGAUUUAUUGGGCGUAAAGCGCGUGUAGGCGGCUUGGUAAGUCUGCUCUGAAAGCCCGGGGCUCAACCCCGGGAGGCGGGUGGAUACUGUCAAGCUCGAGUCCGGAAGAGGAGUGUGGAAUUCCUGGUGUAGCGGUGAAAUGCGCAGAUAUCAGGAGGAACACCGGUGGCGAAGGCGGGUCUCUGGGCAGUAACUGACGCUGAGGAGCGAAAGCGUGGGGAGCGAACAGG
rnacentral:rRNA from 1 species